CCUACGGGAGGCAGCAGUGAGGAAUAUUGGUCAAUGGGCGCGAGCCUGAACCAGCCAAGUCGCGUGAGGGAAGACGGUCCUAUGGAUUGUAAACCUCUUUUGUCGGGGAGCAAAAGACGCCACGCGUGGCGUUCCGAGAGUACCCGAAGAAAAAGCAUCGGCUAACUCCGUGCCAGCAGCCGCGGUAAUCCGGAGGAUGCGAGCGUUAUCCGGAUUUAUUGGGUUUAAAGGGUGCGCAGGCGGACGAUCAAGUCAGCGGUAAAAUUGAGAGGCUCAACCUCUUCGAGCCGUUGAAACUGGUGUUCUUGAGUGAGUGAGAAGUAUGCGGAAUGCGUGGUGUAGCGGUGAAAUGCAUAGAUAUCACGCAGAACUCCGAUUGCGAAGGCAGCAUACCGGCGCUCAACUGACGCUCAUGCACGAAAGUGUGGGUAUCGAACAGGAUUAGAUACCCUAGUAGUC
rnacentral:rRNA from 1 species